rnacentral:tRNA from 1 species
GGCGGGGUAGCUCAGUUGGUUAGAGCACGGGAAUCAUAAUCCUGGUGUCCGGGGUUCAAGUCCCUGUCCCGCUACCA